AUUGAACGCUGGCGGCAGGCCUAACACAUGCAAGUCGAACGAGUGGCGGACGGGUGAGUAAUGUCUGGGAAACUGCCUGAUGGAGGGGGAUAACUACUGGCAACGGUAGCUAAUACCGCAUACCAUCAGAUGUGCCCAGAUGGGAUUAGCUUGUUGGUGGGGUAACGGCUCACCAAGGCGACGAUCCCUAGCUGGUCUGAGAGGGUGACAAGCCACACUGGAAAUGAGACACGGUCCAGACUCAUACGGGAGGCAGCAGUGGGGAAUAUUGCACAAUGGGCGCAAGCCUGAUGCAGCAAGGCCGCGUGUAUGAAGAAGGCCGUCGGUUUGUAAAGUACUGUCAGCGGGGAGGCGUUACCCGAAGAAGAAGCACCGGCUAACCCCGUGCCAGGCGCCGCGGUAAUUC
rnacentral:rRNA from 1 species